CAAAAACAAAUGCAUGCAUGAUCAGGGCGUGAUACUCUAUAUUUACCGGCGAAUAUAUAUAAUACAUAUAGCUAUAUGAUAAUAUGUUAGUAUACAUAUAUAUGCAUCAUAGGAUCUUACUUAUCUAAAGCAGGCAGUUAUUUAUUGUGAUUCGGUUGGAAACGACAAUUAUCGAACCAUAUAAACAUUGAUAUUGGAAUAUUACAUUUCCCCCUUGAAAGGGCCUCGCGUGCUGUGAAUUGUGGAAUUCCCCUUUUACGCUUUUUUAAAAACAAUUGGCCGAGUGUGUUUAAGUCAUUUGUCGUGUUUUAGUUAAGGGCAAGUGUACUGUUUGUUCUAGCAUUCUGAAUACACUAACAAAUUAAAAUGUUGUGCAUCUUGUGAAUAGCUAUAGCUGCAAUGUUUUUGUUUACGCUUGCAUCUAUUAUUAGAAUAGGAAGACUAUAGGUCAAUGGAAAUUUACCCACCGAGCAAGCUACAUUGAUGUUUCAUGAGCCCACUGGUCACAAAGAGAAGACAAUUUGACAGAUGAAGACAAUCGCAAAGAAUAUUAAUUAACUGGACUAUGACCUACAUUUGGGACCUAUGGAUAAGUCAUUUGCAGGCUCUGAACAUGCGAUGACAAGGAGAUGGAAUCAGUCGGAUUAAUUUUAUUAAUCCCAUUCUGUGUGUGUUUCGUGUUGCUGUUCAUAGUAUGCUGUUGUGCUGACGAAAUCAAGAAAAUGUGUCGUAUGCCAAACCAGCUUCCACAACAUUACAUACCAAGUGAUCGUUCCGAGGCCGAGCGGCGCAGGCGUCACAAUAGGCGUCAACGGCAGGCAAGGAGUGCCACUCACGGGCAGAGACCCUCGGAGUCAGAUAUCGAGUCCCUGAUGGGAUCGCGAAGUCGGAACUCCUCGGGCAGUUCUGGUUACAGUUCGGAAACAUGUCCCUUUCAAGUGGUAGCGGUUGUGACGUCAGAUGUGCAGCCGAAUGGCGAAGUGAUUACGUCACAUGUGGACGCGCAAAGUUUAUUACAAUCAGAGCCUGUAGAGGGCGCAGGACUCAGUGCUUCGCAGACUAUUAUCUACAGCAUAGAAGAAACAGGGAAAUAAUGACCAUGAUGUUUCAACAAAUUUACAAGUAUUUUUUUUAAGAGCAAUGCAAUUAAAUAUGUAUGUGAUGUAGAUCAAAACAUGCAUUAUAAUCAGACCGAGAUGGAUCUGUUUUAAAUGCAAUUACCUACUUCAGAGGUUUGUGUCGUAUUAUUGUGUGUUUUUUCUUCUUCUAGAAACUGUUUUCCUGAUGUGUUCACUUAAAAUUGUACGAGAAAAUUUGUAGGAAACGGAUUAUACCACAUGCAGAACAAAGUCUUACAGAGUCUCAGUUAGUCUCAAUACUGUACAUGUAUACAUAUUUACAACUGAUAUGUAUAAGUAGAAUAAUAUUUAAAACAAAGAAUAUGCUGCAAUGUGAGCGUUCAAUAUUUCACUACGCUUUUUUCCGGUGACGAUUAUGCAUAAUUUCAUACAAAUUAGAUUCACUUGCUAUAUACUAUCAUGCAACUAGAUGCAAUUUUAAAUGUAUCCCACCAAUUAACCAGCAUUGAAUGUAGAGACAAUCAUCAGUAUCUUCUCAGAACUGUAUAAUAGACAAAUUUCUCUUGCAAGUUUGCAUUAUAUCAUUUUUCUGGUAGAAUUUAAUUUUCAAUUUAAUAUAUUUUUUUUUUAUAGAUAUUUAGGGUUCAGUUCCAACGACCUCAACAUAUGUAAUAUAAACCAUUUUCGAUCGCUUGCUUUAAAAAUGCUUAAUUUGUAUAGGCGAUGGUCUUUUCCUUAUUAAUGCAGAAUUGUUUGCCAUUGACAUAUUAAUGACAUGCGGUUAAUUUAGCUUAUAACAGCUGUAUAAUGAUUCUUUUUUUGGUUUUUUUUUUGGUUAAUUGUAAGUUGAUAUUCUAUUUGUAACAGUAUAAAAAAAACUUAGAGUAAAGAACUUCAUGUAGUGUAAAUCCUUUUUAAAAAUUUGAUACUGACAACGGGCAAUUGCUAACAUGGAUCGGUAAAAAAAAAAAUCAUAUAUUUUCUUGUCCAUGUGAUUUUCCAACUAUGUCAGAUUAUGUAUAUGGAUAUGGAAGGGAAGGGGAGGACCCCCGGGUAAAAUAUCUGCGCAAAUAAUGAUAAUUUAAUCGAUGACGUGUAUGCUAAAAUUUAAUGUGUUAAUUUAUGAUUUUUUAACGUUUGAAAACGCGUAUUUUCAAUCUAUCAUUGUUAACAUUGCAGACAUUCAAUAGGUGCAUGUAUACUGUUUUGAUUAUUUAUAUUAUUGUCAGUUUAAUGGUGUCAGUUGGGAUAAAUGCCAUACACGCGCCACGGCAUUUCAUGGAAGUUUUUUCCUAAUAAUGGCUAUAGAAGCGGAAAUUUCCAGAUCUGGUCUCUUUCUGAAUAAAUUAUAGGUUUACGCAUUUAGUUUUUUCAAUCACUGACUCCCCUUCCAUACAGUUGACUCUUUUAUUACAGUGUUUGGAAUAAGCGUAAGAAAUUAUAUCUGUAGACAAGCAACUCUAGCUGUGAUUUUGAAUUUCAGGGUACUUUUGUACUACAUGUGUAUGUGUAGGGUUUUGUAUUGAGAUUUUUUUUAUUAUCUUGUUCAAUAAAUUCUCAGUAAACUUAUUUUGUACAUCACACAUUUUUUUUUACACACGUAUGUCCUUUUAAGAUAAAUCACAAAUUUGUUUGUUCCACUUCUAAUUGAUUAUAAAUGUAUUGGCUCGUACAAGUGAUCUGUACAGAAAGCUUGUCUAUCAGAAAAUUAAAAUAUUAUGAAAUUUG